AGUGAACGCUGGCGGUAGGCCUAACACAUGCAAGUCGAACGGCAGCACAGUAAGAGCUUGCUCUUACGGGUGGCGAGUGGCGGACGGGUGAGGAAUACAUCGGAAUCUACUUUUUCGUGGGGGAUAACGUAGGGAAACUUACGCUAAUACCGCAUACGACCUACGGGUGAAAGCAGGGGAUCUUCGGACCUUGCGCGAUUGAAUGAGCCGAUGUCGGAUUAGCUAGUUGGCGGGGUAAAGGCCCACCAAGGCGACGAUCCGUAGCUGGUCCGAGAGGAUGGACCGCCCACACGGGAACUGAACAACGCCCCAGCCCCCUAGGGGAGGCACCAGGGGGAAAUUUUGGAAAAGGGGCACAGUCCUUACCCGGCCAUCCCGGGGGGGUAAAGACGGCGUUGGGUUUGAAAACCCGUUUUGUUGGGAAAAAAGAUCGGGAGAUUAAUCCCCCGCUGUCCUGACGGUACCUAAAGAAAAAGCGCCGGCUAACUUCGUG
rnacentral:rRNA from 1 species